CCCUUAUUUGUAAGAGUCUUGUUUUCCGUUAAAAAAUAGUUUAUAUUAAAUUGUGUUAUUUUAACAAAUAAUAUUUUAUUUGAAUCUCUAAUUGACUUUUCUUGACGGCAUCACAAUGGAAAUUAUAAAAUUGUCGUUUCCUAGACGAUGCGGUUUGCAUUGUUGAUGAUUAUUUUGACUGACGUCUCUAUUUAUCAAAAAAAAUAUUAAAUUCAGAUUAUAAUUGUGUGGAAAAUAUUUCUGGGACUGAAUAGAAGGAAUGAAGUAUUAUACAGAUUGCAAAUUGCGUGAUCAUAGAGUGAGAGCAUUACACAAGUGUCCCGGCAUCUAAG